ACAGCCUUAUAUUGUUGUAUUCUAAAUAACGGAAGUGUGGAACGCGCGUGCGCUCUUCGAUCAGUAACUGCAACGCUUUCUUCAAAGGGGUCUCCAUUUUGGGAUCGUUGUCUACUACAAGUCGUGCAAACGGUACGAAUCGACUUUCCAGUGAACUGGAUACGAGUAAUGGGUUUCUGAGGCCAUACUCUUACGAUGUGAUGAUUGCUCGUGCGUUAAAAGCGUUUUGGUAUCAUGCAAUAUGAAUGCAUGCGUGCAUAUUUUUUGAGUUGUUCAAGUCCUGCUAAUUUGGAGCUGGUGCUACCUCACAGAGAUGGGUUUCUGGUUACCAAUUUGGCAAAACAGUGUCAUCACUGACAAUCAGUGGUCUACCAUCACUAUCAGCUUGUAUGUAUCAUUACAAACUUUUGUGUGUAAGCCAAUGGCAGCAUCAGCAAGCAAAGGAGAUAACGAUUCUACAGUAUUCAUGAUGUACAUAGUACUUUUCAUGUAUAGCCUUGGGUUACAGAACAUUAACAAGUUUGAGAACAUUAACAAGUUUGAAAUAACAUCAACAACUACUUGCUAGUAGUCAAGCAUUUAGA